rnacentral:rRNA from 1 species
CGUGCAGGUGGGUUCGUAAGUCGGACGUGAAAUCUCCUGGCUUAACCAGGAGGGGCCGUCCGGAACUGCGGGCCUUGAGGUCGGGAGAGGGACGUGGAAUUCCCGGUGUAGUGGUGGAAUGCGUAGAUAUCGGGAGGAACACCAGUGGCGAAGGCGGCGUCCUGGCCCGCACCUGACACUCAGACGCGAAAGCGUGGGGAGCGAACG